CACCUACCUUCAUCGUAGUUAUAGCCUCGAACAUUCCGAUGCCGGGCCAUCGCCAUCUUGGCUUCCCGCAGGCCUCUGCGCCGAGCGCCUGCGCAAGCGCGACGUCUUAUCUGUGCACCGCGCGACGGCAAGGAGGGAGCGUUUGGGAGUGGCCCCACCCAAAGGUUGGGCGACGGAGGGGGAUGGGGAAAUCCCGCCGCCUAGAAUUGACUGGUUUGGACUAAAUGUUGCAAGCGGGGAACCUUGAGCUACCUACGCCAGCGUUCUGGAUUAUUUUCCAAAUUUGGUUUCUGAUAAUCUGAGAAAGCUAUGCGCUCAGUAAGAGCAGGGACCUUGUUUUAUCAAACUUUGAUCUUUCAUUAAGCACACAGUGGGCAUUCAACAAGCUUGUGUAAACUUGGAAUCAGAUUUAGCCCAGGCCGGUGCGGUGGCUCCUACCUGUAAUCCCAGCACUUUGGGAAGCCUAGGAGGGCGGAUCGCUUGAACUCAGGUGUUCGAGACCAGCCUGAGCAACAUAGCGAGGCUCCGUCUCUACAAAAAAUACAAACACUAGCCGGCCCUGUGGUGCAGACCUGUAGUCCCAGCUACUGAAGAGGCUGAGGUGGGAGGAUCCCCUGAGCCCGGGCGGUCGAGGCUGCAGUGAGCUGAGAUCGGGCCUCUCCAUUCCAGCCUGGGCGACAAAAAUCCAGCUAAGUAAAAAUUGGCAAGAUCCUGUGACAAGAUCCUGUGAUCAAGACAAGGUUUUGCCCCCAAAGGACUUGAGGCCAUCUGGGAAUUCCAUGUUUGACAGAAGCGCUGACAGCAUAACCAAGCAAACAAGAAGGUAUUCAGGGACGCUGAAACGGAUCUUCAAAGAAGACUCAGUGGGUGAUUUUUAAUUUCUGUGUAGUAUUAUAGAGCUUAAUGCAGAACAUACCAAAACCUUGGAGAGGUAAUGAUAGGGUCAUGCAUUUCAUAAGGCAGAGUAAUGCCCUGCAACAACAAAAUAAAAGUCAAAAAGAGUUCUACACUGAGCCAUGAACCACUAAAUGGGGAAUACCAACAAAAUAACACCACCUGGGUGAAAUCUUCUUCCUGCACAGAUAGGUUCUUUCAACCACCAACCCUAGGCUUUCCAGCUGUCAAGCACUUAAUCAUGAAAUAUAAUAAUAAAG
rnacentral:lncRNA from 1 species